rnacentral:rRNA from 1 species
AUCGAACGCUGGCGGCAGGCCUAACACAUGCAAGUCGAGCGAGCGGCGGAAGGGUGAGUAAUGUAUGGGGACUGCCCGAUAGAGGGGGAUAACUACUGGAAAAGGCAGCUAAAACCGUAUACUAUGCGAUUACCCAUAUGGGAUUAGCUAGUUGGUGAGGUAAUGGCUCACCAAGGCGACGAUCCCUAGCCGAUCUGAGAGGAUGAUCCGCCACACUGGGACGGAGACAAGGCCCAGACUCCUACGGAGGCAGCAGUGGGGAAUAUUGGGCAAUGGGCGCAAGCCUGAUGCAGCCAUGCCGCGUGAGUGAAGAAGGCCUUAGGGUUGUAAAGUACUUUCAGUAGGGAGGCGUUACCUACAGAAGAAGCACCGGCUAACUACGUGCCAGCAGCCGCGGUAAUAC